rnacentral:rRNA from 1 species
UGCAGUCGAGCGCGUCGCAAUCCCAGUCGUAUGGUGGGGGAUCAGUGGCGAACGGGUGAGUAACACGUGAGCGAUCUGCCCUUGACUCUGGGAUAAGCGCUGGAAACGGCGUCUAAUACUGGAUAUGAACUGUGGCCGCAUGGUCGGCAGUUGGAAAGAAUUUCGGUCAAGGAUGAGCUCGCGGCCUAUCAGCUUGUUGGUGAGGUAAUGGCUCACCAAGGCGUCGACGGGUAGCCGGCCUGAGAGGGUGACCGGCCACACUGGGACUGAGACACGGACCAUACUCCUACGGGAGGCAGCAUGGGGGAAUAUUGCACAAUGGGCGCAAGCCUGAUGCAGCAACGCCACGUGAGGGAUGACGGCCUUCGGGUUGUAAACCUCUUUUAGAAGGGAAGAAGCGAAAGUGACGGUACCUGCAGAAAAAGCACCGGCUAACUACGUGCCAGCAGCCGCGGGAAUACGUAGGGUGCAAGCGUUAUCCGGAAUUAUUGGGCGUAAAGAGCUCGUAGGCGGUUUGUCGCGUCUGCUGUGAAAACUGGAGGCUCAACCUCCAGCCUGCAGUGGGUACGGGCAGACUAGAGUGCGGUAGGGGAGAUUGGAAUUCCUGGUGUAGCGGUGGAAUGCGCAGAUAUCAGGAGGAACACCGAUGGCGAAGGCAGAUCUCUGGGCCGUAACUGACGCUGAGGAGCGAAAGGUGGGGAGCAAACAGGCUUAGAUACCCUGGAUGGUAGCGACACCCCGUAAACGUUGGGAACUAGAUGUGGGGUCCAUUCCACGGAUUCCGUGACGCAACUAACGCAUUAAGUUCCCCGGCUGGGGAGUACGGCCGCAAGGCUAAAACUCAAAGGAAUUGACGGGGACCCGCACAAGCGGAGGAGCAUGCUGAUUAAUUCGAUGCAACGCGAAGAACCUUACCAAGGGUUGACAUAUACGAAAACGGGACAUAAAUGGUCAACUCUUUGGACACUCGGAAACAGGUGGUGCAUGGGUGUCGUCAGCUCGUGUCGUGAGAUGUUGGGUUAAGUCCCGCAACGAGCGCAACCCUCGUUCUAUGUUGCCAGCACGUCAUGGUGGUAACUCAUGGGAUACUGCCAGGGUCAACUCGAAGGAGGGUGGGAAUGACGUCCAAUCAUCAUGUCACUUAUGUCUUGAGCUUCACGCAUGCUACAAUGGCC